rnacentral:lncRNA from 1 species
UGGUCUUGGUUAAUUUGUCAUUUAGAAUGUCAGCUCACAGGUGGAGAAGGACUCCCCCAACUCUAGGACUCUCUCAGUGGUUAUCAUGGCGUUCCUGGCGUGUUAUUCUCACGUGGCCUUCUAUCUUCAUCAGCGGGAGCGUGGGCAUGAAGUGUGUUCUCAUGCGCACAGGACCUGGGACUCAGCCGGGAAAGCGGAUGCCAGUGUGACUGUGACAGGCAGAUGAGGCUAUCAGUUGGAAAAGUCAGGUGAUAGAGUCUCGCAGACUCUUACUUCAGCUCCAUUUGGCAGCUUGAUCGUGUGCCACGCGUGAAAGAGAUGCUAUGCUAUGCAGCAGGAAUCGAUCUUGCAGGCUGGCCUCCUGAACUGAAAAGCAGGACAGACCCAUGCGUGAAGUCAGGGGCUCCCUGGGGCAUCUAGUAGGCUGCAGGGUGUUCCUGUUCUUCUCGGGUGACUUACAUGCUGUUCACCCCCUCUCCUGUGCUAACCCAUCCCUUGUGGUGCCCCAAGGAGAUAAGGACCUCUGUUGGCUCCCUCAUUUCUUUCGUGUUUGUGGCUACUGAGGCACAGAGGUUACCUGGUUGCCAUGGUAACUUGGUGGACAGCUGAUGUCCAAGGUUGCCUUCUCCCGCUGUAAUAAACACCACGACCAAAAGCGACCUGAGG